rnacentral:rRNA from 1 species
UACGUAGGGCGCGAGCGUUGUCCGGAAUUACUGGGCGUAAAGAGCUCGUAGGCGGUUUGUCGCGUCUGCUGUGAAAUCCCGAGGCUCAACCUCGGGCCUGCAGUGGGUACGGGCAGACUGGAGUGCGGUAGGGGAGAAUGGAAUUCCUGGUGUAGCGGUGGAAUGCGCAGAUAUCAGGAGGAACACCGAUGGCGAAGGCAGUUCUCUGGGCCUGUACUGACGCUGAGGAACGAAAGCGUGGGGAGCGAACAGG